AUCUUUCAUAAGCUUGAAUAUUGGGUUUUCACUCUCAUGUGAGAUGUCUCUCAAACUUUGCUAGGAAGUCAGCACCAUUGUGCACAUUACUUGUCUGACA
ensembl:snoRNA